rnacentral:lncRNA from 1 species
AACAUUCCGGUGAAGAUGAUAAAGAUGAGAAAGAGAAAGAAGAACUUGUUGGUAGGAAGGUUAAGGUAGAGAAGCCAGAGAUGUUUAGAGGGUCUAGACCUGCACCACUAGAUGUUCUAAGUCGUGUGACAAUGAAUCAAACCGUUGAGACUCCACGUUCGACUAUUAAAGGCUUCCUCAAUGUGCCUCAGCAGACCGAGCUCAAAUUCAGCAGGGAAAAUCUCAGUAAAGUUGAAGAACAGCUUAAGAGUGCUUUCGUUGUAUUUUACCAGAAACUUAGGCUUCUAAAGAGCUUUGGGUAAGAUAAUGGUAACAAGUUUGUGAUAGUUGGUUAGUUUUCCUAAUUUAAGUUAACUGGUUGCUAAUUAUGACUAUUGAUGAAUGGAAACAGAUUCUUGAAUACAUUGGCAUUUUCGAAGAUCAUGAAGAAGUAUGAUAAGGUAGGUAUUUCCCCUGCCAAUAUUUAGAUGAUUGUUGAAAGGCAUAGAAUACAAGAAAUGAACAAAAGAAAGUUGUUCAACUCUGUUCACUUUUCUUUUGGUGAGUGUUUGGCUUGUGAUACUUUGUACUCAUACCUCAUCAACUUUUCAGGUUACUUCAAGAAAUACAUUAAAACCGUACAUGAAGAUGGUAGACAACUCCUACCUUGGCAGCUCUGAUGAGGUUAGAACAAUUUUCGAUCUCUGUAGAUAUACAUGUUGAAAAAUUGUGUAUUUGCAACUGUUGUCUUGUCCAAAUGCGCGCCAUAGUUUCUUCUCUGUGGCAGUGUCUUAUUUAGUCUCAUAUGAAAGUUGUAAUACUACAGGUUACCAAGCUUAUAGAGAGGGUUGAAAGUGCAUUCAUCAAGCAUUUCUCAAACUCAAAUCGCCGAAAAGGGAUGGCCGUUUUAAGGCCAAAGCCAAAGAUAGAAAGACAUAGGAUAACAUUUUUCAUGGGUAAGACCUCUAACUAAUCAAAUCAGUACAUAUAGAGUUAAAGUUUCUUAGACUGAUCAAAUUUCUACAUCGUUUUCUUUGAUCUGAAUCUUGUUUAUUGCAAACCUGUUAGGUUGCUUUGCUGGCUGCACAGUUGCUCUUACAUUAGCCCUGAUUUUGCUAGUACGCGCUCACGAUAUUAUGAAUGAGUCAGGGAGGAAACAGUACAUGGAUACCAUAUUUCCCUUAUACAGGUAACGACACUAAGGUUUUGUUUUGCUUAAUAUCAUCUGUCUAACUCUGAAAGAAAAUGGAUAGUAGUACUUCAUUUGCUUGACAUGUCAAAAUUCCAAAUGCAGCUUGUUCGGGUUUGUUUUUCUACACAUGCUUAUGUAUGCUGGAAACAUAUACUUCUGGAGACGGUACAGAGUCAAUUACUCUUUCAUAUUUGGUUUCAAGCAAGGAACUGAGUUGGGCUACAGAGAGGUUCUCCUUGUUAGUUUUGGUCUGGGAGUGCUAGCACUAGCUGCUGUUCUCUCAAAUCUUGACAUGGAAAUGGACCCCCAAACCAAAGAGUACAAACAAUUAACUGAACUUCUCCCUCUCUUCUUGGUUUUGGUAAGAUCAUUGAACAUUUAAUUUCAGCUGUCAUCAUACUUCUAGCUAGAAGUCUAAACUAAACUCAAUUCUCAAUGUGCAGUUUGUAAUUGUGAUAUUAGUAUGCCCAUUCAACAUCGUCUAUCGCUCAAGUCGCUAUUUCUUCCUUGUUUGUGUAUUUCAUUGUAUCUGUGCUCCUCUAUACAAGGUAAAACUCAACUUCAGACACCUUAUUUGAAUGAUCAAAGUGAUGAACAUGACUAAUUAACUGGUUACUGGUCACUGGUUUAAGGGUCUCAACACCUCAAUAUUUUUGUUGUCUGACAGGUCACACUGCCAGAUUUCUUCUUGGCUGAUCAGUUAACUAGCCAGGUUAGUGAAAUGCACCAAUCUUCUAAUCUGACGUUUCAGUGAUAUCAGUUUUCUUCUUUCAUUUCUCUCACUAUGAAUCAAAAACUGAUACCUGAAUUUAUUUUAAUGAAUGUAGGUGCAAGCCAUUAGAAGCUUGCAGUUCUAUAUUUGCUACUAUGGUUGGGGAGAUUAUAAACUCAGAGAAGAUAGUUGCAGAUCAAGCGAUGUAUUCAAGACUUUCAAUUUCAUAGUUGCUUGUAUUCCAUAUUGGUCCCGCCUUCUUCAGGUACAUCCCAUUCAUCCCUGUACUUGUUUACAUUGUUGUUGGCUUAUUCCUUAACAGUUUUAAGCUUUUGGGUUGACAAAAGCGUCCAAGCCCUAUUUUCAUCCUUCAGUCACUUAGUAAUGUUUUCCAUUUCAUUGUUUUUCAGUGCCUACGACGCCUGUUUGAAGAGAAGGACCCACACCAAGGUUACAAUGGGCUCAAGUACUUCUUCACAAUAGUAGCUGUCACCAUGAGGACAGCUUACAGUCUUAAUAUGGAUGUGAACUGGAAAAUUCUUGCCGGGAUUUUUUCGAUCAUUGCAGCAUUGUAUGGAACAUAUUGGGAUCUUGUUGUAGACUGGGGACUUCUGCACCGCAACUCAAAGAAUCGCUGGUUGAGAGACAAACUUUUAAUCCCUUACAAUAGUGUAUACUUUGGAGCUAUGGUAAGAACAGCAUUGAGAACUUCCAUUGUUAAGUGACAUUAACAUUCUCUAACUGUCUAUUUUUUGUUUAUGGGAAUGGCAGGUGUUGAAUGUGUUGCUGAGAUUUGCUUGGUUGCAGACUGUUUUAAAUUUUAAUGUUCCUUUCAUGCAUAAACAAACAAUGUUAGCAGUCGUGGCCAGCUUGGAGAUAAUUCGUCGAGGGAUAUGGAGUUUUUUCAGGUUGGAGAAUGAACAUUUGAACAAUGUUGGCAAGUACAGGGCAUUCAAGUCAGUGCCACUGCCCUUCAACUAUGAUGAAGACCACAAAGAUCUGUAGGCUUGGACUCAUGAAAUCAUUUUGGCCAUUCUGGAAGACAGGAAUAUUUCACCAAAACCAGUGAAGUGUAUAGAAAAGCUAUCAAGCUGCAAAUUUUGUAUCCCCUUCUAUUUUUUGAUUUAUUUAUGCUGGCUGCAUUGUUAUUCUUGGAGGGCCUCAAGUAAUGUGAGACCAGGUGGGAAAGAAAGAAAUAGAAGGCACACCAUGGAUUACCUUGGAAAGAAUCUUCAACAAUGGCUCCCAUGCAUGCAUCCCUUGUCUUUCUCCAGAGGCCAUCCUACUUGAUUUGAAGAUAACUAGGCAACACCACCCGACAAUAAUAUUAAUUUUAUCCACUCUCAAAAUACUCUUCUUUUUCGGAGGGGUUAUAUUCCGGCCGACACAAUCUGUCGUACGUCUGCAUGCUUUGCUUUUAUUUAAGUUUAUGUUUCUUUCAGGCAAUGCCCCCUAAUUACUUAGUUAAUUAGAGCCUAGCUUGAUUAAGCGUGUUUUAAGUGUGAAACUAAACACAGUACCUAAACGACCUGGUCAUGAUAAUCUAGAUUCAUUUUUUGGAAAAAUUAAUCCAGAUUCAUUUCCUCUUAACAGAUUUUUUAGUCAAUUAUCGGGGCGGUGUGUACGUAGACAUUGUUUCUAAUCACCGUACGUCGUUGUAUAGAAGUCAAUGGGUUGAACACGACAUUACCGUACCAUAUAUUCAGCAUAAAUUAAACCCUAUGAUUAGCUCACAAUAGAUAAUUGUUGCCCCUUUAACUAGUUAAUAAAGAAAGUGAAGGUAAGAAAAUGAGGCAAAGGAAUACGCUUAUAGUGGAAACACGCUUAUAAUCUCACAUCAUCUCUCGGCAUAAAUUAGUCUUUAGGUUUUGAAAACUUUUGAGAAAAAAAAACCGUGUGAUUUUGAUCAAAAAUAAAUAAAGAAUAGAAACACGUUUGGUACAUUAUUUGUUGCUUCGGCCCAUAUUUUAUGUUGAUCAAAUAAAUAAAUUAUAUACAAUAACUAGUCUAUUGUAAGUCAAAUGGUGCAAGGUGUUGUUUCGACUAAUCAACAACAAUCGAUCUACCUAUGUUUAAUUUCAGAAAACUUCAACGCUUUAUUAAAAUUCUCAAAAACUUCCGUGAAAACUACAUAGAGAAUAGUAGUGCAUCAUAUGUCAUAUAAGUGAUAGUUCCAUUGAGCUUCUAGCUUGUUUCUUUUCGUCUCCAUGGAUAAAUGUUGUCAUGGAUAAAUGUUGUCAACUGUGACUGCUUCCACGCGUAGCAUGUCAUGUUGCGGUCACCAUCAUUUCAGUUAUCGAAAGUUCAUGUAUACACCAUAGUGUAAGUAAAUCGAGAGCUGAUAUGUAAUCUCAGCCGUACAUUUAAUCUAGUUAUUAAUGUGGCACUAACCAUCAUUUUCACGUCGUUAAGGACAGAGAUACAGUAGGAGUCGGUAAACACCGUAACUAGACUGGGGAAAUCUGAGAGUAGCUAGAAAACUGAAGAACGGUGUGGAGUGGCUCAGCCAUAGAAUCCGGCGAUAGAGAAGCCGAUUCUCCUCUCCAAACAAAGCCAAAACCGCCAACAGACCAGUCUUCUUUGGAGAACUGAAGCUCAGACUCGUGGCCGCUAGUCCGCUACCUUCCAGCUCAUCUUUGCCGUCGUUUGAUCUCUUCCAAACCCAGGUUGGUUUCUGGGAGAAUUGAUUUGCAGAGGUAAAUAAGUAAUUGGGUUUGCCGGUUUGGUAUUAAAUGAUAUGAAUCAGAGGGUAAUUUGCUCUCGUUUAUCAUUGCCCUUUUGACCCCAAUUUCCCCACCAAAUAGAAUCAAUUGUUCAAGCAAAACUGAUGAAUUUCAUGAGGAUGAGGGUUGGGCAAGAAGAAGCAAUUGGAAACAUGAAACCCUAUAAAUGAAAAUUGAGGAAUUGAAAGGUUGAGGAAUCUGAAGGCCGAAGAGGAAGAAGAAGCAAAUAUGGAAUUUAGGAAGUUCGGGGAGGAUGAAGAAGCAUAUCUGGAAUUGAGGAAGGUCGGGAGGAUGAAGAAGCAGAUCUGGAUGGAGAGGUUGGGUUUUGGAGGCAGGGAGAUGGAGAGCUGGGUUACGGAGGCAAGGGAGAUGAAGAGAUGAGCGCAGCAGAAGGCUUUUACUGUAAAUUUUGUGUUUUUACUGAUUUUUUAUUGCUAACAGCGUUUGUUAUCUGUUAAUGGUUUAAGUGUACCUUGGUGCACUGAAUCCACUUUGGUGCACUGAAUCCGUUCCGUUUCUGCAAUAGAGAACUUCAGUCGUAGCUCACUGCUAACUUUUUGGUCGUCCCCUGCUUGCUGAUUAAAAAAAAUAUUUUAAGAAAGAAAGUUCUUAUAGACUGAGUUGCCCUUUGGCGUUCUGUACUCGUUAAUUUUUAAAAUUUUCUGCAUAAUUGUUCAACCAGAAAAAAGAAUCUUAAGCAUUAUAUAUAGGCUUUACUUUCAACCUCAUUCAGUCAUUGUCAUUUCUGAUUUGGGUUUCACUUCAUUUCUGACUUGUUUAGCGCAUUGUAUUGGUCUCUACACCCCAAAAUGAAGUUUGGAAAGGAAUUUGCAGCACAAAUGGUGCCAGAAUGGCAAGAAGCAUACAUGAACUACAACUACCUAAAAUCACUCAUAAAAGAUAUUCAACACUCUAAGCAAAGAGACAAGCCUCCUCCUCCUCCGGCGACCACCACAACGCCCCACCAAAUAAAGCGGAGGCACACAUUGUACAGAGCCUUCAGUGGUCUCACCAGAAGUCGACACCACCAAGAACCUUUUAGCCCAAAUCCGGACAUCGAAAACCAAGCCAUCUUAGUAAACCCUGUGAGAUCAGAAGGGUCUAAUCACGAGAGUUACCAGACCACUUUCUUAAUGGCUGCCGAGGAAGGCGGGGUUAUGGAGUUGGAUUAUUUCAGAAGGGUUGAUGAUGAGUUCAACAAAGUUGAGAAAUUCUAUAGGGGAAAAGUUGAAGAGGUCCUGAAGGAAGCUGCUGUGCUUAAUAAGCAAAUGGAUGCUUUGAUCGCUUUUCGGAUUAAGGUGGAGAAUCCUCAGAGGCUGUUUGAUUGGUCCGGCGAGAUUACUCGUCUUGCUUCAGAUGUUGCAACUUCCACAGCUCAGUUGGCUGCUUCAACUCCUAGAGGGGUCAGAGCAAGCAGUAUGUACUAAUUAGCACAAAAAUGGUUAUUUCGUUUGAUAGAAAAUGAGAUAAAUAUGCAUAUAAUGUGUUUCGUUUCAUUUUCAGGACGUGCGGCUAUGGCUAUGGAUGUGAUCGAAGAGGGCGGGUCAAGUAGCCAAGGGGAACAUUCCGGUGAAGAUGAUAAAGAUGAGAAAGAGAAAGAAGAACUUGUUGGUAGGAAGGUUAAGGUAGAGAAGCCAGAGAUGUUUAGAGGGUCUAGACCUGCACCACUAGAUGUUCUAAGUCGUGUGACAAUGAAUCAAACCGUUGAGACUCCAGUUUCGACUAUUAAAGGCUUCCUCAAUGUGCCUCUGCAGACCGA